rnacentral:lncRNA from 1 species
GUAUAAAGAGAGUUUAUAACUCAAGUGGUUAAAAUAUUUGUUUAUUUAAGAAAGGUGUUUUGUUUGAUCACUCUGAAUAUAGUUAUAAUAUAUUAAAAAUUGAGCAUCCGAUUUAUAAUUAAUUGACAAAAAGAAAAGAGAACGUCAACACUAGAUCCUAAAAGCAUAUCCAAUGGUGUAAAUAAACACAAUCGGUAAAAUUGUAUUAUAAUAACUGACAUAAUCGACAAAAAUAAGAGCAUCUCCAAUGCGACAAGUCCUAACGCAAGUGGCAGUGAUUAGAGAACAACGUAUACGAAAUGAAUUUAUAUACUGUUUCGUUCUAAUAGUGUCAUAAUAUUAUUGAAUCAAAACACUACGACAAGUUUUCACAAAUAGCAUCAAAUUUUUAGUGCUAAAAAAGUUCCUAAGUUGUUUUGAGUCGCAUCACAUGGAAAUGCACCGUUGCACAUGGUUGGUGGUGGCGCAGCCCUCUUUUAAAUUGCGCAUCUUCUUGUUCUUAUGUGUAUUAUAUUGAUUUACUUUUAGCGUUUAGUAAAUUACAAGAUAAAAAAUUAUGACAACUGCAUGAAAGUUUCGUUUUGUUUUUUCCCCAUUUUAAGAGCCCAUCUUGAUCAGGAGUAAGCAGACUUAUGGUUUAGUUUAAGAACACGAAAAUCUAUUUGAUCACAUAUAAAGCUAAGUUUUUUACUCCCUUAAUUUUCCAAGGUAUUGGAAUCUCAAUGUGCAAGAAAAUUACAUCCAGAAAGAAAUUUGGUUUGUCACGAGACACGUUUCCAAAUUUAGCACUAUUUGUAUUAAUAUCAGCAGUCAGUACUGUCUGAUAGGACAUCCAAUCAUUCUUCUUAAAGGAGGCAGAUUCUUUGUCCUCUUACUUU